AGGACUAACGCUGGCGGCGUGCCUAACACAUGCAAGUCGAACGAGAGUAGCAAUACUCUAGUGGCAGACGGGUGAGUAACACGUGGUCAACCUACCUCUAUGUGGGGGAUAACUAGCCGAAAGGUUAGCUAAUACCGCAUACGAUCGUCGAGCGGCAUCGCUUGACGAUGAAAGGAGCAAUCCGCAGAGAGACGGGACCGCGUCCCAUUAGCUAGUUGGUGGGGUAAUGGCCUACCAAGGCGACGAUGGGUAGCUGGCUUGAGAGAGCGACCAGCCACACUGGGACUGAGACACGGCCCAGACUCCUACGGGAGGCAGCAGUGAGGAAUUUUCCGCAAUGGGCGAAAGCCUGACGGAGCGACGCCGCGUGUGGGAAGAAGGCCUUCGGGUCGUAACCACUGUCGAAGGGGAAGAUAUUGACGGUACCCUUGGAGGAAGCCCGGCUAACUACGCGCCAGCAGCCGCGGUAA
rnacentral:rRNA from 1 species